GUUCAGUGUGUUUUCAUGAUACGGGUCCACCGCCGAUUUUCCGGCGCCCUUGGUUCCAGAGCCUUUCUUGAUUGUCCGUUUUGCCAGACCAACAGAGGUCACGGUCUCCGAGAGGAGUCCAACGGUACAGGAAGGGUCCACCUGGGCUGCCGAGGAGCCGAGAUACUGGC